rnacentral:rRNA from 1 species
GAUGAACGCUAGCGGCAGGCUUAACACAUGCAAGUCGAGGGGUAACAGAGGUAGCUUGCUACUUGCUGACGACCGGCGCACGGGUGCGUAACGCGUAUACAAUCUACCUUGUACGAGGGGGAUAGCCUUUGGAAACGAAGAUUAAUACCCAUAGUAAGUAAGAGUGGCAUCACUUUUAUUUUAAACUUUCGGGGGUACAAGAUGAGUAUGCGUCCUAUUAGUUAGUUGGUAAGGUAACGGCUUACCAAGACAUCGAUAGGUAGGGGUCCUGAGAGGGAGAUCCCCCACACUGGUACUGAGACACGGACCAG